UACGUAGGGUGCGAGCGUUAAUCGGAAUUACUGGGCGUAAAGCGUGCGCAGGCGGUGAUGUAAGACAGGUGUGAAAUCCCCGGGCUUAACCUGGGAACUGCAUUUGUGACUGCAUCGCUGGAGUGCGGCAGAGGGGGAUGGAAUUCCGCGUGUAGCAGUGAAAUGCGCAGAUAUCGGGAAGAACACCCGUGGCGAAGGCGGCUCUCUGGGACGGUACUGACGCUGAGACGCGAAAGCCAGGGGAGCAAACGGG
rnacentral:rRNA from 1 species